AGUGAACGCUGGCGGUAGGCCUAACACAUGCAAGUCGAACGGCAGCACAGUAAGAGCUUGCUCUUACGGGUGGCGAGUGGCGGACGGGUGAGGAAUACAUCGGAAUCUACUUUUUCGUGGGGGAUAACGUAGGGAAACUUACGCUAAUACCGCAUACGACCUACGGGUGAAAGCAGGGGAUCUUCGGACCUUGCGCGAUUGAAUGAGCCGAUGUCGGAUUAGCUAGUUGGCGGGGUAAAGGCCCACCAAGGCGACGAUCCGUAGCUGGUCUGAGAGGAUGAUCAGCCACACUGGAGCUGAGGCACGGUCCAGACUCCUACGGGAGGCAGCAGUGGGGAAUAUUGGACAAUGGGCGCAAGCCUGAUCCAGCCAUACCGCGUGGGUGAAGAAGGCCUUCGGGUUGUAAAGCCCUUUUGUUGGGAAAGAAAAGCAGCAGGUUAAUACCCCGCUGUUCUGACGGUACCCAAAGAAUAAGCACCGGCUAACUUCGUG
rnacentral:rRNA from 1 species